GGGGCGAUAGCGCAGUUGGGAGUAAGUCAAUCCAAAAGUUUCUUGAUCGACUCAACUGACAAUAUUAGGCGCGUCAGACUGAAGGUAACUUCGGUUCUAUUCUAUCUGAAGGUCACCGGUUCGAUCCCGGUUCAUCCCA
rnacentral:tRNA from 1 species